CUGCAUGUCUCAGUAUUCAGGCAGUGCCUGGGACCUCUUCACGAAGCUAGAGCUGACAGUCAUCCCUUCUACAGAAGGAGUGUUGUUGUUGAUGAGUUAUAUCUCCACGUUGAGUUACAGAAGGAAGUUAGCAGGCUGCAUGGCAUUCAUGAAGAUGAGCAAGAGAGAGAGAUAAGACAUUCUCAGAGACCCUACAGCUUCAUGAGUCUCAACACCCAAUUGCAGUGGAGAUGCAGAUGAAUGACACUGUUGAGCAAUGAGAUGAACUGUCCACAGUGGUUCCAAAAUCUCUUUCCUAAGCAGCAGUGAUCAGUUUGGAUUCAAUCAGGGUAUACAUGCAGAUGACACCAACAACCCACGGCUACUCCUUUUGUGCUAACAAUUAUUCAUCUGAAUGACAUUUGUGAACAUACAGAGCAAUCUGCACAAGAACAAUGAAAUCUAAAUGCAUACAGCUUGUUUCACCCCAGUUCUUGGAAGCAGCAUGUGCUUUCUCCCCUGCCUGGCUGUACCGAACAAAACUUCAGCAGCAUAGCCCAACUCUCCACCCAGCAAGAAAUGAGUCCUAAGAUUCCCAUGCCUCCAGAAUGGGAGGAUGCAAUAA